rnacentral:rRNA from 1 species
UAGGGAAUCUUCGGCAAUGGGGGGAACCCUGACCGAGCAACGCCGCGUGAGUGAAGAAGGUUUUCGGAUCGUAAAGCUCUGUUGUUAAGGAAGAACGAGUGUGAGAAUGGAAAGUUCAUACUGUGACGGUACUUAACCAGAAAGGGACGGCUAACUACGUGCCAGCAGCCGCGGUAAUACGUAGGUCCCGAGCGUUGUCCGGAUUUAUUGGGCGUAAAGCGAGCGCAGGCGGUUAGAUAAGUCUGAAGUUAAAGGCAGUGGCUCAACCAUUGUAGGCUUUGGAAACUGUUUAACUUGAGUGCAGAAGGGGAGAGUGGAAUUCCAUGUGUAGCGGUGAAAUGCGUAGAUAUAUGGAGGAACACCGGUGGCGAAAGCGGCUCUCUGGUCUGUAACUGACGCUGAGGCUCGAAAGCGUGGGGAGCGAACAGGAUUAGAUACCCUGGUAGUCCACGCCGUAAACGAUGAGUGCUAGGGGUUAGGUCCUUUCCGGGACUUAGUGCCGCAGCUAACGCAUUAAGCACUCCGCCUGGGGAGUACGACCGCAAGGUUG